GACGAACGCUGGCGGCGUGCCUAAUACAUGCCAGUAGAACGCUGAAGGAGGAGCUUGCUCUUCUGGAUGAGUUGCGAACGGGUGAGUAACGCGUAGGUAACCUGCCUGGUAGCGGGGGAUAACUAUUGGAAACGAUAGCUAAUACCGCAUAACAGUAGAUGUUGCAUGACAUUUACUUAAAAGGUGCAAUUGCAUCACUACCAGAUGGACCUGCGUUGUAUUAGCUAGUUGGUGGGGUAACGGCUCACCAAGGCGACGAUACAUAGCCGACCUGAGAGGGGGAUCGGCCACACUGGGACUGAGACACGGCCCAGACUCCUACGGGAGGCAGCAGUAGGGAAUCGUCGGCAAUGGACGGAAGUCUGACCGAGCAACGCCGCGUGAGGGAAGAAGGUUGUCGGAUCGGAAAGCUCGGUCGUAAGAGAAGAACGAGGGUGAGAGUGGAAAGUUCACACUGUGACGGUAUCUUACCAGAAAGGGACGGCUAACUACGUG
rnacentral:rRNA from 1 species